CGUGUAGGCGGCUUGGUAAGUCCGCUCUGAAAGCCCGGGGCUCAACCCCGGGAGGCGGGUGGAUACUGUCAAGCUCGAGUCCGGAAGAGGCGAGUGGAAUUCCUGGUGUAGCGGUGAAAUGCGCAGAUAUCAGGAGGAACACCAAUGGCGAAGGCAGCUCGCUGGGACGUGACUGACGCUGAGAGCGAAAGCGUGGGGAGCAAACA
rnacentral:rRNA from 1 species